GAGUUUGAUCCUGGCUCAGAUUGAACGCUGGCGGCAUGCCUUACACAUGCAAGUCGAACGGCAGCACGGGAGCUUGCUCCUGGUGGCGAGUGGCGAACGGGUGAGUAAUGCAUCGGAACGCAUCCUGGAGUGGGGGAUAACGUAGCGAAAGUUACGCUAAUACCGCAUAUUCUGUGAGCAGGAAAGCGGGGGACCUUCGGGCCUCGCGCUCUUGGAGCGGCCGAUGUCGGAUUAGCUAGUUGGUGAGGUAAAGGCUCACCAAGGCGACGAUCCGUAGCAGGUCUGAGAGGAUGAUCUGCCACACUGGAACUGAGACACGGUCCAGACUCCUACGGGAGGCAGCAGUGGGGAAUUUUGGACAAUGGGGGCAACCCUGAUCCAGCCAUGCCGCGUGAGUGAAGAAGGCCUCGGUUGUAA
rnacentral:rRNA from 1 species